rnacentral:lncRNA from 1 species
AAACGGGUGCCAUGGAAGUACAAUACCUCCAUUCAAUUAGGAAAUACAAUACUUUGGAGUUGAAGAGAAAUAUCCAAAUAACAUAUCUUAUUUUUUUCAAUAAUCCAUAUUUGUAGCCAUGAAUCUAUAUUUGUAGCAAUGAAAUAAUAUUGUUCCUUCCUGAUAUGAUAUAUGAUCAAUUACAAAUAUCUAUGAUCUGUCUUAUAUAGGAGUAGGUCGUUACAUUCAUUAAGAAAUAUUGAUGAUGUUGGUUGUUUUGAUUAUGAUGCUGUUUGUUUUGAAUUUGGCAAGAAAUAUAAUAUAAAAUUAUAUUUUGUUUGGCAGGGAUAAAAUUGAAUAGUUUGAUUGUUAAGAAAGAGGAUUUGGACUAGUCAUGUUAGUAUUGCCAGUCUCCAUGGGUUUUCAUGGGAGACUUCAACAUCAUCAAAUCCUAAAAUAAAAGGAGGUCAUCGCAUUCCCUUCUCGACCAUAAACUGGUCCAUAAACUGGUCCCACUAGCUGGGUAUUUGACCACUCGGCCGAUCCUAACCAGCACUCCGGGACCGAAAACCACCUUCUUUGCAUUCUCCGAUGCCGACUGGGCUGGCUGUCCCGAUAGCAGACGGUCCACCUAAAAAAAAUGGGAAUGAUUGUUNN